rnacentral:rRNA from 1 species
UACGUAGGGCGCAAGCGUUGUCCGGAAUUAUUGGGCGUAAAGAGCUCGUAGGCGGUUUGUCGCGUCUGCUGUGAAAAACUCGAGGCUCAACCUCGGGCUUGCAGUGGGUACGGGCAGACUAGAGUGCGGUAGGGGAGACUGGAAUUCCUGGUGUAGCGGUGGAAUGCGCAGAUAUCAGGAGGAACACCGAUGGCGAAGGCAGGUCUCUGGGCCGCAACUGACGCUGGAGG